UACGGAGGGUGCAAGCGUUAUCCGGAUUCACUGGGUUUAAAGGGUGCGUAGGUGGGCAGGUAAGUCAGUGGUGAAAUCUCCGAGCUUAACUCGGAAACUGCCGUUGAUACUAUUUGUCUUGAAUAUUGUGGAGGUAAGCGGAAUAUGUCAUGUAGCGGUGAAAUGCUUAGAUAUGACAUAGAACACCAAUUGCGAAGGCGCUUACUACACAACGAUUGACGCUGAGGCACGAAAGCGUGGGGAUCAAACAGG
rnacentral:rRNA from 1 species